GACGAACGCUGGCGGCGUGCUUAACACAUGCAAGUCGAACGGAAAGGCCCUGCUUGCAGGGUGCUCGAGUGGCGAACGGGUGAGUAACACGUGGGUGAUCUGCCCCUUAUUUUGGGAUAAGCCUGGGAAACUGGGUCUAAUACUGGAUAGGACCAUGCUGUAGGUGGUGUGGUGGAAAGAUUAGUUUCGGUAAGGGAUGAGCUCGCGGCCUAUCAGCUUGUUGGUGGGGUAAUGGCCUACCAAGGCGUCGACGGGUAGCCGGCCUGAGAGGGUGGACGGCCACAUUGAGACUGAGAUACGGCGCAGACGCCUACGAGAGGCAGCAGUGGGGAAUAGUGCAAAAUGGGCGCAAGCCGGAUGCAGCGACGCCGCGUGGGGGAUGACGGCCUUCGGGUUGUAAACUCCUUUCAGCCAUGACGAAGCCCUUGUGGUGACGGUAGUGGUAGAAGAAGCACCGGCUAACUACGUG
rnacentral:rRNA from 1 species